rnacentral:rRNA from 1 species
CAGUAGCCGCGGUAAUACGUAGGUGGCAAGCGUUGUCCGGAUUUAUUGGGCGUAAAGCGAGCGCAGGCGGUUCCUUAAGUCUGAUGUGAAAGCCCACGGCUCAACCGUGGAAGGUCAUUGGAAACUGGGGAACUUGAGUGCAGAAGAGGAGAGUGGAAUUCCAUGUGUAGCGGUGAAAUGCGUAGAUAUAUGGAGGAACACCAGUGGCGAAGGCGACUCUCUGGUCUGUAACUGACGCUGAGGCUCGAAAGCGUGGGGAGCAAACAGGAUUAGAUACCCCAGUAGUCCCUGUCUCUUAUAA